GCAACACCUUCCCCUCCUCCAACCCCCAUAAAAAAGAAAAAAAGCAGUCUUUUAUAUCAUAGGAUUAUAGUGUUUUACCUUGACUUAAUGUAAAGGUGUACUUUAUUACAUGAUUUUAAAACGAAAAUAGCAUCGGAUUGUACCUGUAGCUACAUAUAUCCCCUCCUCCAACCCCCCAUGAAAAAAAAGCAGCCUGGAUUACAGUAUUUUACCUUUUUAAAACAAAAAUAACAUCUGAUUUAACUUUUAGCUACUUGU
rnacentral:lncRNA from 1 species